rnacentral:rRNA from 1 species
UACGAAGGGGGCUAGCGUUGCUCGGAAUCACUGGGCGUAAAGCGCACGUAGGCGGCUUCUUAAGUCAGGGGUGAAAUCCUGGGGCUCAACCCCAGAACUGCCCUUGAUACUGAGGAGCUUGAGUCCGGGAGAGGUGAGUGGAACUCCGAGUGUAGAGGUGAAAUUCGUAGAUAUUCGGAAGAACACCAGUGGCGAAGGCGGCUCACUGGCCCGGUAAUGACGAUGAGGUGCGGAAGCGUGGGGAGUAAACAGG